AUCAGAGACUGAACAUGACAAAUACGCCCAUCGAUAUAUUCCUUGGAGGUACACAUCAGCAACCUUGUUAAGUAAGAAGUUAUGCAUGUAUGUCUUCAUUCUCUCCAUGUUGAUGCAACCCGUACAAACACAGAGAUGAAAGAGGAAAAAGAUAAACAAGAGGAACAAGCUGAAAGACAUAAAAGUGUUAAGAUUUAUGUACAUUUCCAUAAAUUCAAUUCUAAAUUAAACUGUUCUUUUAUUUCCUCUCUUUUUAGAGUAGUUUAACUCCCAUUCUGUCCGUUUUUUAUCCUUAUGUCAAGAAAGGUUCGGUGCUUGUUUCAUCUGAAUCAUUUUAUAUAGGUAUAAUGGUUAGAUAAAUUUGACCAACACUUACUAGAAUAGUUUGAUUUUUAAGAAUGUAUUUAAAGUUCAUUUCUCUAUAACAGAGCAAUUAUCUCAAAGUACGUGGCAAUAGCUGGCAUUAGCUGCUCAGCAUAAUUUACAAUAUACUGAGAAGACAAAAAUUGAUGCCUGUUUUCUUUUUUUAUAGCAAUUUUUGUAAUGAAAUAUUUUCUUUCACACUUCCUAAGAAAGUAGCUUUCAUAAGCAUUCUGAAGUGCCAUCCUCAAACAAAGGAUUUAUAAGCCAAUUGAAGGAACAUGCUUACUGUAAAAUAAAUGAGUGGCUUUUUUAUGAAGGGGAGCAUAACAUGCCUUUUCAUUUGAUGAGCUCUAAAAGAAUCAUUUGGAACAUAUGACGAUUUUGGCAAGACAGCAACCUGUGCAACUUACCUGCUGAGUGACUGAAAACUAAGAAUAAAUAAUAUCAUGUUCUUCCUAGGUACUGUAGAAAAGAUUGCCUAAAUACAGGACUACAUGCCAAAAGUGGAGCUUGACCAGAGUUUGGUACCAAAAUGUUCACAGAGAAAUGCUGAUUCAAAACUUUUGAAGUCCAAGCCUGAGGGUGCCAGUGCUCCAAAACCUGCUGAUUUAUUUUCUUCUUUCAAGCAUUUUGAGUCGCACCUCUGCUCGUCCUUGGUACUAUCCCAGGUUGAACAGGAUGUAGGAGCUGAAUUCACACAGAGUUACUGAGAAGGAAAGCACCACUCCUUAGCUCAGGCCCCCUCUGCAUGAGUAGAGAGCUCUCCUUCUGGUGGAAGGACAGAGGGACAGAGACAGGACGUGUCUUCCAUGC
ensembl:lncRNA